CCUACGGGAGGCAGCAGUGAGGAAUAUUGGUCAAUGGACGAGAGUCUGAACCAGCCAAGUAGCGUGAAGGAUGACUGCCCUAUGGGUUGUAAACUUCUUUUAUAUGGGAAUAAAAUGUUACACGUGUGGGAUUUUGUAUGUACCAUAUGAAUAAGGAUCGGCUAACUCCGUGCCAGCAGCCGCGGUAAUACGGAGGAUCCGAGCGUUAUCCGGAUUUAUUGGGUUUAAAGGGAGCGUAGGUGGAUUGUUAAGUCAGUUGUGAAAGUUUGCGGCUCAACCGUAAAAUUGCAGUUGAAACUGGCAGUCUUGAGUACAGUAGAGGUGGGCGGAAUUCGUGGUGUAGCGGUGAAAUGCUUAGAUAUCACGAAGAACUCCGAUUGCGAAGGCAGUUCACUGGACUGCAACUGACACUGAGGCUCGAAAGUGUGGGUAUCAAACAGGAUUAGAUACCCCUGUAGUC
rnacentral:rRNA from 1 species